UCGCACCUUAGUGAGAUUGAGUUUGGUCACUUCGAGUUGUUGUCGUCUUUAGCUUCAGGAGUCGGAGGUUUAUUUUUGUACCAGAAUCGAAGCCUCCAUUUGGAGCAGGUUCUUAUUUAUCGCUUUAUUUAUUUAUUUCCCGCAUCGCUUUUAUUUUAUUUAUUUCCCGCAUCGCUUUUAUUUUUUUUAUUUCCCGCAUCGCUUUUAUUUUAUU
rnacentral:lncRNA from 1 species